CCCCAUGUACAUAUGAGAGAGAAAAAGACAUUACCCCCUACACACUCACACUGCUAAAGGUGAAAUUUCUUCCAAAGCUCCGACCACUUGGCUGCAUCAGAUUCCGGCAGCUAUGUCUCUCAAUGGCUUAGAGAGAAUCCAAGACUGCCACGUGGUAUCAAUACCAUUCCCUGGUCGUAGCCACAUCAACCCAAUGAUCCAUGUGUGCAACCUUCUUGCUUCAAAAUGCUUAACCAUCACAGUUGUACUCACUGAAGAGUUGCUCUCCUUAGCCGGACCUGGAUCUGGGUCUGGUCCAAAAACACACAACAAUGUCCGGUUUCGAUCCAUUCCCAAUAUACUCCCUUCGGAGCAGGAUCCUGGAAGGGAUUUCGUCGACUUCAUUGUCUCUGUUUCCACCAAGAUGGAAGCUCCAGUUGAUCAGCUUCUUGAUCAGCUUGACCCACCUCCAACUUGUAUCAUAGCUGACACUUUCUUGGCAUGGCCAGUAGCCAUAGGGAACCAGAGGAAUAUUCCGGUGGCCACCGUCUUUAUUUUUUCGCCGGCGAUGUUUUCAUUGCACUAUCAUUUUCACCUCCUUGUUGCUAACGGCCAUCAACCAGUUGAAAACAUCUCAGAAAGGAAAGAUGAGAUGAUAAACUACAUCCCUUGAAUCCAUGCAAUACGCCCGGGAGAUCUGCCAUUUAUUUACCUUCCCAGUCAUGAAAUUAUAAAGAAAAUCUUAGAAGCCUUCUAUUGGGUAAAGAAAGCACAAUUCGUUCUCUUUACUUCCUUCUAUGAGCUUCAAGCCCAUACAAUUGACACCUUAAGGGGAAUUUCCAAUGCCCAUUUAGCCAAUAGGUCGCUCCAUCCCUUUCCUACCACUCCAAGACACAGACACACCUUCUGAAGCCAGCAAUGGCAAUGCUGCUGUGGAUUACUUCAAGUGGCUGGACUCUCAACCCAAAAAUUCUGUCUUGUAUGUCUCAUUUGGUAGUUUCUUAACACCGUCGGCUUCACAAAUGCAUGAAUUUGCAAUGGGGUUGCAGACCAGUGGAGUUCGAUACUUGUGGGUUGCUCGUGAUCAAGCCCUCAACUUGCAGGAAACUUGUGGUGAAAUGGGACUAGUAAUACCAUGGUGUGACCAAUUGAGGGUCUUAUGCCAUUCAUCAAUAGGAGGGUUCAUGUCACAAUGUGGAUGGAAUUCAACACUAGAAGCCAUUUACUCAGGGGUGCCAAUGCUCACUUUUCCUCUGUUAGCAGACCAACAUCCAACCAGCGGGUUUAUUGUGGAAGACAUGAAAAUCGGUUUGAGAGUGAAAGAAGAUAUUGGAAUGGAUAACGUGGUUGGGAGAGAUAAGAUUGCCCGCAUUGUGCGAAGGUUGAUAAAUGGAGAUGAAGGAAUACAGAUGAGGGAAAGAGCUAAAGAAAUUCAGAGAUCUUGUCGAAAAGCAAUAGAGAAGGAUGGAUCUACUUACACAAACCUCCAUGCUUUUAUAGAUGAACUUGGAAGGCGCAGGAGUCCGAGGCAAUAGCCAUGUAUCAGGGACACAACAUAGCUGGGAAUUAGGAGCAAGAUCCGUAGGCAUUUGGACUGAUAGCCAGAAUCUGAUGGAAUGGCCGUGGGAGAUCUUCAUUUGAUUAAUGGCAUUUAUUAAGAAGUUUUUCUAAUGUACUAUCUCUGCCUGUGAUAAAAACAAAGUAGGGUUCGUGUUUCCAUAGCCCAUAAUCUAGCAGUAAGGGCUAGGACUGAUAAACUGUCUUCUAAAUCCUUGGAUAAUCAAUUUUCGUUUUCAUAAGCAAAAACGUUUUCUC